GCAACCAGGUGUGAUGCUCCAGGGUGUGGUCUCAGCCCAGCCAGACUUGAGACCAGACUCCAGCUGGGCCCUGCCUCUCACUCCUGUGGUCAGAUAACCUUACUUGCUUUUUUCACCUCGUAAGAUGAACCCAGCAGCCUUUGUGCAGGAUGGCUUGAAGAGGUGUUGCUCCUCAUCUAUCAAUGCCCACCUGCCACUAAGCUCCAGAUGCUGGAAUUACCUGACCGUCACCUCUACCUUCCCCAACCCAGAAACAUCCAUGUUCUCUCAGCCAGUCUCUCAUCAUUAGCCGAUCCAACUACCUAAGUCAAGAUGCAAAUGGCUGCACUCAAGAAUGGAAAAACAAACACCACAGGGGUGACUCAGAAGUGACGGAACCACUUCCAGGCAGGCUUGGCCUAUAAAACCUCACCCAGGUGGCCCUCCCUGCUCUGCCCCUGCAAUCUCAGAAGGUGCUCGUUAAAGAAGGAGGAAGCGCAAGGUGCAGAGCCCAGGUCUCUCAAUCAAUGCUUGGAGGAGCUACUCACCCAUCAAAAACACCAGAUUGAACUGUCCAUGAGUGACAAAUAAACUUCUGUUGGGCUUUAGCUAUUA